rnacentral:rRNA from 1 species
UACUCCCAGGUAGCUCUGGUCACCUCCCACCCGUGUUUAUUUUACCUUGUUGCUUCGGCGGGCCCGCCUUAACUGGCCGCCGGGCUUACGCCGAAGACACCCUCGAACUCUGUCUGAAGAUUGUAGUCUGAGUGAAAAUAUAAAUUAUUUAAAACUUUCAACAACGGAUCUCUUGGUUCCGGCAUCGAUGAAGAACGCAGCGAAAUGCGAUACGUAAUGUGAAUUGCAAAUUCAGUGAAUCAUCGAGUCUUUGAACGCACAUUGCGCCCCCUGGUAUUCCGGGGGGCAUGCCUGUCCGAGCGUCAUUGCUGCCCUCAAGCACGGCUUGUGUGUUGGGCCCCGUCCUCCGAUCCCGGGGGACGGGCCCGAAAGGCAGCGGCGGCACCGCGUCCGGUCCUCGAGCGUAUGGGGCUUUGUCACCCGCUCUGUAGGCCCGGCCGCGCUUGCCGAUCAACCCAAUUUUUAUCCAGGUUGACCUCGGAUCAGGUAGGGAUACCCGCUGAACUUAAGCAUAUCAUAAAGGGGAGAAGAAAUUUUUU